GACGAACGCUGGCGGCGUGCUUAACACAUGCAAGUCGAACGGUAAGGCCCUUCGGGGUACACGAGUGGCGAACGGGUGAGUAACACGUGGGUGAUCUGCCCUGCACUUCGGGAUAAGACUGGGAAACUGGGUCUAAUACCGGAUAGGACCCUGGGAUGCAUGUCCUGGGGUGGAAAGCUUUUGCGGUGUGGGAUGGGCCCGCGGCCUAUCAGCUUGUUGGUGGGGUGAUGGCCUACCAAGGCGACGACGGGUAGCCGGCCUGAGAGGGUGACCGGCCACACUGGGACUGAGAUACGGACCAGACUCCUACGGGAGGCAGCAGUGGGGAAUAUUGCACAAUGGGCGCAAGCCUGAUGCAGCGACGCCGCGUGAGGGAUGACGGCCUUCGGGUUGAAAACCUCUUUCAGCACCGACGAAGCGCAAGUGACGGUAGGUGCAGAAGAAGGACCGGCCAACUACGUGCCAGCCGCCGCCGUAA
rnacentral:rRNA from 1 species